CUACCCCCAGCAGGUAGACACAAAAAGCGGCUGAGCAUUGUGAGGAACACGUCGGCAGAGGAAGAUACAAGCCACUGGUCAUCGAGGGCACACUGGCAGAAGAGCACGCCAACAGGCACUAGCAGGUCGACAGGCCAGGCCGUAGACUGGUGGAAUGACGCGAAGUUUUCCAGGGGAAAACCAUCUCCCUUCUGGCUCCCCCAUCUGCUAAGAGUUACUUCUACUCAAUAAGACCUUGUACUCAUUCUCUAAGCCCGUGUGUGCUCCAAUUCUCCUGGUACACCAAGGCACCUCCAGAAAUCAAGCAUCCAAUACAACAACAAGCAAAUGCUCCAGGCAGUUACCAGAUUAAAGGAUGUUGCCAGUUCAGCAGUGCAGAAGCCAUACACACAGAGAAACUAUCUGGGAGAAGAAAUAUAGAAGAUAAAUCUGGAACAUUGUGUGACACAAAAUAAGAAAACUGUGAAAGGAAAACGAGCCAUUGUCAAAAUGACACAUGAGCCAGCUUGAGUGGACUUUCACUAUCCAAAAAUUUCCAGUUUUUCCAGCACCAUCUACUGAAGAGACUGCCCUUUCUCCAGUGUAUGUUCUUGGCACCUUUGUCAAAAACAAGUUCACUGUUUUGAUAUCAAGAUUACACAGAUCUCACAAAACAUCGUGUUCUCCUUUAGGUGAACUCAAAGAGCGCUUUACAUGAAAGCAAAGAACAUAACAUUUUCAAACACAUCAAACUAUGCCAAAUGAGAUGCAAUCUGCUCUACAUAUUUCAAAUGGCAAGUAACUACUAGGAUUGCUGUGUUUGACUUCAGAAAUCGAAAAGAAGUAACUAAACUGAUGUAUUUUUAAUAAAGAGUUCAAAGAACUGUGAUGAUAAAUGAGCCAUUCCCCAAACUGUAAGUCCUCAGGUUGAAUCACUGAGAAAUUAUCCAAACUAAUAGAGAGGAGCAGAGGUGCAGGGCAUUGGAUGGGUUCAGUCCACUUCAUGGCUGCUGCUACCACUCCCUCAGAACUGGCCUCUCAUGGCCAAUACCUAGCCUUUCCAUUUAGAAGCCUGUCUCUUCAGCCCUACCUCUACUGGCCUGUUCCACCCACAGACUUUCCCAUGAGACAAAGAAAAAACAAACCUUAUUUAAGUUUACACCUUGCUCAAGGAGUGAAAUAAGUUAAGCCUCAAUUCAUGUAUAAUUUUGGGCUUAGUUUACCCCCAUCAAUCAAACAUAUGUAUUCUCCUUGAUGGCUACUCAACAUCCUACUAGUAGGGAACAUAAUAUUUACUUGAAGUUAGAACUUCUAUUUAAAGUUAUACUGAAAGACUCUUUUACCCUCCAGAAGUACCUUCCCUUCUUUUAUCCUUCCUUCCUUCUCCCUUUCCCCCUUUUUCUCUCUCUGAAAUAUGGGCAUGAAUCUCCUUUAUAAUGAAGAAAAAAAUCUUGAAAUAUUCUUUCUUUCUUGUAUAAAACCAAUACACCAAAUAUUUGUUCAUUGCUUUAAAAAUGUUCUUUCUUCCUUUCCUCCUUUUUCCUUUCUUCUUUUUCUCUUUCCCCUCUUUCUUUCUCCCAUUUCUUCUUUCUUACCCUUUCUGCCUGUCUUCCUGUCUGCACUUUAUCAUGUGUGUUGUGUGAAAUGCUACAUAAACAUAAAUAAAUGAUAAGGCAAGAUCUUAUGAGGAAAUUCGUAAUCCUACUGGCCUAUUGACCAGUCAAUUUAGCUUAUUCAGUAAAACCUGGUAAAAGAGACCUUAAGAUUAUAUUUUAAAGCAAUGAACAAAUGCUUGGUUUAUUGAUUUUAUCCAGUAAGUAAAAUAAAAAAUAUUUCAAGAUUUUUUUCCAUUGUAAAGUAGAUUCAUGCCCGUAUUUCAGAAAGUGGCAUAUUCUCAAAAAGUCACGUUUUUUUUUUCAAAUUAUAGGGUUCCUGUUAAGGAAACAAGGAAACUAAACAGAGAAAAUGACUUGCCUCACACAGCUUUUAUUAGGCAGUAAAGAGGUACCUUAAUCAGGGAGAAACUUAUUUUUCUAUUAUUUUCAUAAUGGAGAUGCUGACAUUGAAAUGCUGUAUUUCUCUCCACUCAAGCUAUGCUUUAAGCAGUGUUAAGCUACUGCUUUUGCAUCACUAGUACUGAAGAUUAUGAUUUCAUCAGGACAUCUUUUAUUGCAAAGCAGUCUCAAAUGAAAUUCAGGGGAAAUGAGCUAAACCUAACAUGCUGUUGGUUUGCCAGGGUCAAUCUUCUGCUCACAAAAUUCAAGUGCCACUUGUCUUUGUAAUUGCAAGCAUAGGGAUAUAUCUUCCCUCAUUUAGAAGCACUCGCACGGUACUAGAUUAUUAUCAGGCAAGAGAGCAUUUGAAUCUUAAAUGAUCACUGAUCCAUAUUAACUGUACAAUUUGUUAUAUAGUAAUUUGGUGAGGAGGUCAAGUAGGAAAUAGAUUUUGGGUUUCUCUUUAUUCAAGUUGACUGCAUAAAAGAGAGUUCAAAUCUUACUGUUCUUUCUACAAAGACAAAUACACUAUGAUUUUUUUUAAAGGCAUACUUCAUUUGAAUAUAAAUAAAUUAUUCAGUUUUGACUAUCUUUUUUUUUUUUGGUUUUGGUUUUUAGAAAAUGGUAAGCAGCUUUCAGAGACCAUCAUGUUAUGAUUGGCAAGAGGACAGGCAUCAAAUGGAAAAAGAAAGCAAGUAUUUUCAACAAAGAAGAUUGACAGUGUAUUAGUCCCUUUUCACACCGCCAUAAAUAGCUACCCAAAACUGGGUAAUUUAUGAAGAAAAGAUGUUUAGUUGAUUCACAGCUGCAUCGGCUUAACAGGAAGCAUGACUGGGAGACCUCAGGAAACUUAUAAUCAUGGUGGAAGACAAAGCAUGGGCCUUCUUCACAUGGUGUUAGGAAAGAGAGAGAGAGGGUGCACCAGGGGGAAGUGCCACACACUUCUAAACACCAGAUCUCAUGAGAACUCUAUCAGGAGACAGCACUAGGGGGAUAGUGCUAAACCAUUAGAAACCUCCCCAAUGAUUUAAUCACCUCCCACUAGGCCCCACUGUCAACACGUGGGGAUUCCAAUUAGACAGGAGAUUUGGGUGGGGACACAAAGCCAAACCAUAUCAGACAGUGAAAGUGGGAAAUUGCCUUUAUAUUUAAUUUGAAAUAAAUAAUCAUGGGCAUUGAUGUAAGCCAGUGCUCUCAUGAUGGUAAAUUAUCUUCUUUAUUUUUUGGUUUCUGCUUUCUCUGAUGAAGCUGGAGUUGAAAAUGGUUACUCUGAAAAAAUAAGCCUUUCUUCAGAUGAAUUGUAGACAGGUCAUUAGAAGUCUUCCUUGAAAAAAGAUGUGAAACAAAACAAAAACAAGAAGCAAUCUGCAAGUUUGACACAAGCCUGGCUAAGAGCAUCUUCACCUUUUUUUUUUUUUUUCUAAUCUCAGGAAAAAAAAGUUGAGUUUUGUUUCAUCAAUUUAGGAUUUCAGAAAAAACAUCUAAUUAAGCUAGGAUAAAAGCAGUUAAUUAAGCAACUUUGGACCACAUCUGUACUUGUGAACAACCUUGAUUAUAUCAGUAUACAUAUAUAGUAAGUGGCCUCUGAACAUUGCAUUUCAAAUAUAGAAAUUAAUAAAUUCAUGUUACUUUAAUUAGCAAUAAUUACAUAAUAUUUAGCAACACUCAAUAGUUUUUAAGACUCUCAUAAAAUGUAAGACAAUAUUGAUUGCAAGACCCAUUAUAAUUUUACAAACCAUUAAGAAAGACAGAAACUCUGCCAAAUAAAAUAUGACACAAGGCAUUAAAGAAAAUGUUGUGUUAUGUAUGAAUUUUUCACACAAGCCUCUUAUUGCUUGGAAAUUAUAUCCAUCUAUUUUAAGAAUUUUGAUAGUUUCUCCUGACUUUUAUUGAGUUGCCUAGCAUGAGUCAGGCAAUCCCUUUACACAUUCUGCACAAAUAGAAUGUAAUAGAGCCUUAUAUAUUCACAAGCAUCUUCCUUUCUUUGAUCUCCUAAAGUACUUGGGUGUUUUGCAAGAAAAUAUGGAAUUUAGGUUGUCCUUACAACAAUGAAUAUUUGCUUCCCUCUCUUCUGUCUCUAUGUUUUUCCACAUAAAGAAAAACUUUUGUUUCUACACUGAAAUGCCAUGUGAUCUUUAAUGUAUUUUAAAUAGCUCCACGCUACUCAACGAGGGUAGUAUUGACUAUGAUGACAAAAGCCAGAAAUAUGAAUACCUAUGACCCAGCUCAUUCAUGUAGGAAUGAAAAAUAUGACAUGAUUGUUGUCUGGUCAAAAACAACUAUAAGCACCAUAGAUUUUAAGAUGCAUUCUUAUUUUAGAGAUUUAUGAACAUAACCGAAAAGAAAUGUGUCUUAAAAUAAUGAAAAGAUUAUUUAUUUAUAAUGGUAUAUAUUCACAUAAAGAAAAAGGCAUAUAUUUUAUAAGUAUACUAAGGAGUACUCUGGGAGCUUGGAUGUACAAGGGAGAGAGCCACAAAAAUGCAUUCUGAGCCACCGGGGGAUUUUAGUGUUUGAAGACAAAGUGCCCUAAAGCACUUUUUGCAAACUCAGCUCUGUAAAGAUAUGCCCAUAUAAAGGGGCAAUCGUGUAUAAAACAGAACGCUGAUACUUUGCUAAAAAUAUCAGGGUGAAAAAAUAUUGAGGCAGAAAUCUUGAAAGAAACAGGCAGUGUGGGGAAAUAAUAAUUACUUGUUAUCAAUCAGUAAGGAAUAAACAAUAGGAAAAAGUCUAGUUAUCACAGUUCCUUAAGAAAUAUAGUCUUGAGUAGGGGUUAGAAAACUUUGUUUGUGAAGGGCCAGAUGAUAAAUAGUUUAAGCUUUGCCGUCCACAUACGUUCUCUGUUAGAUAUUUUUCUUGUUUUUAUUUUGACCACUUUUUAAAGUUGUAAAAACCAUUCUUAGCUUGGGGCAGUGAUAUGGUUUGGCUCUGUAUCCCCACCCAAACUCACCUUGAAUUGUAAUAAUCCCCACGUGUCAUGGGAGUGAUGCGGUGGGAGGUAAUUGAAUCAUGGGGAUAGGUUUUUCCUGUGCUGUUCUUUUGUUAGUGAGUAAGUCUCACGAGAUCUGAUGGUUUUAUAAAGGGCAGUUCCCCUGCGCAUGUUUUCUCUCUUGCCUGCUACCAUGUAAGAGGAACCUUUCACCUUUCACCGUGAUUGUGAGGCCUCCCCAGCCACGUGGAACUGUGAGUCCAUUAAACCUCUUUUUCUUUAUAAAUUACCCAGUUUCGGGUAUGUCUUUAUCAGCAGCGUGAAAGCGGACUAAUUCAGGCAGUAAGAGGUUGUGGGCUGGAUUUGUCUCUCGGCUUGCGGUUUGCAGACCCCUGGUUUGCACUAGUGGUUGUCAAAUUUCAGCAUGCAUAAGGGCUUCCUGGAGGGCUUUCUGACACAGAUUGCCAUUUAGAGAGCUUUUGAUUCAGAAGGUCUGGGAUGGGGCCUGAAAACUUGCAUUUUUAACAAGUUCCUAGUUGAUACUGUUGCUGUGUAUGCAGGAACCACACUUGGAGAAUCACUGGUCUAGUAGUGAAAAGCAGCUUUGGAGUAGAGUAGAUUUGGAUCCUUACCCUGUCACUAACCAUCUAUGAGAACUUGGGUAGCUGAUUGAACUCUACUGAAUCUUGGCUUCCUCAGCUAUAGAAUGGACAGCAAUGGGACCUACACAAGUUUAACCUCACGAUUAUGAUUCACGAGUAAGAUCUGUGGAGCACAUAGCACCGUGCUUGGCACACAGUGAUUGCUACAUACAUGUUAACUAUUAAUCAUCCCAGAUGGAAGACCAUUUUGAGGAACCCAAAUUGGAAUGAAAAAAGUUAUGUUAUUUUACCCUCCAUCGAUGUAUUUGGGGUGAGAAAAAAAUAUCAGUGAGAGAGUUAAAAAGAAGGGAAAAUGGAAGUAGCAAUAUAGGCAUAAUUGAAAAAGUUGCCAGGUUCUUUUACUUGUGAAAAGGCGUGGCAUUUUCCUGAAGAUGGAUUCCUGGGAUAAAUGGUUAGAUUUGUAGCCCAUGAGCAUGCCUUGUGAUGAGCCAUGUACUAUGCUGCUCAAGAAGUGAAACAGCUGGGAGGCUCUUUUACACUAGAAACAUGGGACUCAUUUCUAGUGACGGCACAUGUGAUAAACAUCAACAGCUGUUGAUGUUUCCUUGUUUUAAUGUCUCAGCUGCUCAGAGGGUACUUGAGCAAAGCCUCUUGCUACCUGAUGCAGCUGUUAGAUAGUUGCGAAUGCACUCUCUGGAUCUGUUUGGGGUUCAUUCCUGCUGUGUAAUAAUGCAAUAAAACUGAUUUCCCCUUGGAAGUAAACAACUCAGCUAUCAAAGGCACAUUUGGGAGUUGGAAUACGAUUCCCCUCUACCAAGACACAGAUAAAAAGAGUGGGCUUCCCAAGUUAAGGAAGCUGUCCUCCUCUCGAACUUGCCUGGCGUGUAAUAUAUGCUUGUCACUAACAAUUGCAGAAUUAACAAUGCUCCUAGCACCUAGUAAAUGGUAGCUUUUUGCAGAUCACCUUUAAAAGACUCAUGGUGAAGCCAGUGAUCCAUUUGUCUUGCCUUAGGCUAUUUCUAUCACAAGAAUGUCCAUCUUCUAAGGCAAGCUUUUUCUUAUCUAUCUAAUGAUGGAUAAAGGAGCUCAGACGUUGGGUCAGAUAGGCCUGGACAUGCAUUAUGAAUCUACAGAAAGAUUUUAGCAAAUCAUUGAACUUCUCUAAACAUCAGUUUCUUCUGCAAUCUUUAACCGGUUUCAUGCUUUACUCUUGCCUUUGUAAAAUCCAUCAUUCAGAGUAAAUUUUUUGAAAAGCAAAAGCAAAUCACAUCACUGCCCACUUAAGACCCUUCUGUGGCUUCAGUAACACUAGAAUUUUAUACAAACAUCAUAUCAAAACCCAAAGCCUCAGUAUUCGAACUGUGAUCUGCAGGAUCACCUGGAAGCAGAAUUGCAGGCUCUUCUACAGACCUUCUGAGGCAGUUAUUGUUUUUUUUAACAAUAUCCUUAUGUAAUUCAUGUGUACAUUAAAGUUUGAGAAGCAGUGGCCUAUAAAGGCCCUUCUAACUUUCCCAUGAGUCUUAUUUCAUCUUCAACUACUCAACCUCUCAUUCAUUACACUGCGUGCGCUCUUCUUCUGUCCGAGAAUGCAAGAGGCUCAGGGCCUUUGCUCUCUGCCUAAAAUAUCCAGUUCCAAGAUUGGCUCCUGGCCAGUCCCUCCUUGUCAUUUGAGUUUGAGAUUAAAAUGUUACUUCCUCAAAAUCACCAUCCAUCCCUUUGUUUGGUUUUGUUUUUGCUUUUCUAUUGUAUGCCUCCACCUUACGAGAAUAUAAGAGCUGGAAGAGGUGGGAUCUGAUCUGUCUUGUUUAUUGCUCUAUCGCUAGAACAUAGAACAGUGCCUGAUAUAUAGUAUACAGUCAACAAAUAAUUUUCAAUAAAUCCAGAAAUUAUAUUUACCUCUCAAGAUUGUUUUGGGGAUUCAAUGAUAGAGUAUCUAAGAAACAUUAGCACAUCUUGGUUGCUUACUCAAUGUUAGCUCCCACCCUUUCCCUUCUUCUUCCCUUCUUUGCCUGUAUAGAUUGAUAUGCAGUGAUGCCUAGGUUGUGUAGGUCAUCUCUGUGAUAAUUGGAAACCCUCUAUUCCACAAUCUUAAGAGAAAGUCUAGCAGUUGCAUCAUUCAUUGACUUCUCUGAACAUCAAUUUAAUCUGCAAUCAAUCCCUAACAAUUUGUCCAUGAGUCAGAAGCACAGUUAAGAAAAGGGAUGGUCAAAGAGAAUAGAAUAGAGUACUUAGUCUGCCAGAUAGAGAUGGAACUGCACCCUUUACCUGCCUCAUGCUGGCCCUGGUUCUUGUAAAGAUAAUUCUAACAGGAAUAUGCAGUAUAAGUGAUAAUGUAAAUAUAAAUUUGAGUGCUGAGAGUCAUAACCUAUGCAGUUCAUUUAAUUUUCUGAACUUUUGGUUGCGAGAAUAUGAAACAAUUUGUGGCAAAUAUAGGCAAUUACCUAUCCAUGCCAAAUAUUUAAAAUAUUUCACUUUUAGUACAAUAGAAAUAUGAGGAAAAUGCUAGAGGUUUAGAAUUGAGGGAAUGGGAAAAGCUAAAAGACCCAUGAAACUUCUGGAAAUGAGUGAAGUGGUGCACCUGUGAGAAACAGUUUGGAGGUACCUUUGUAGUGGCAAGAGCUUUGACUUCAGAGUCAGAUGGACACAGGUUGGAAUUGUUAAGCAGUAGGUAACUGUGAAAUAUUAAUUACUUAAUAUUACCUCUGGCCCUUGGUAUUCUAAUCUGUAAAAGGUAGAAAAUAUUAAUACUUAGCUCACAGAGUCAGAAUAAAUGAUCUGUGUGUCAGAGUUUCUCAGUGCACGUGGCAGGCAAAGCACCUGACACAGUCUCUAAUCAAGACACAUUUGCCAUUGUUAUAGUUAUUGGAAGUCAGGGGGCAGAUGGACCCAGUGCUGUCAUGUUCAUUCUGUUUCCCCAUAACAACCACAACAAAUAUGUGUAAAUAUCUUUUGGGUUUUUUUGAGACUGAGUCUUGCUGUGUCACCCAGGCUGGAGUGCACUGGCGCUAUCUUGGGUCACUGCAACCUCUGCCUCCCGGGUUCAAGCGACUCUCUUGCCUCAGCCUCCUGAGUAGCUGGGAUUGCAGGCGUGUGCCAUGAUGUCUGCCUAACUUUUGUAUUUUUAGUAGAGAAGGGGUUUCACCAUGUUGGUCAGGCUGGUCUCAAACUCCUGACCUUGUGAUCUGCCCGCCUUGGCCUCCCAAAGUCCUGGGAUUUUCAGGCGUGAGCCACCAUGCCCGGCCUUAAAUGUCUUUCCAAUGCCUCUGUCUUUCCUUUUUAUACCCUCACACAUCCCUCUGUCCUUUUCUACUUAUUUCCUUCUUCUGGAAAAAUUUCUCCAACUAUUAUUUGUAUGGGUCAGAAACACAGAAAUGGAAAUACUAAAAGAGGGAAGGGGCCAGGCUGACAAAAAAAAAAAAUACAAGUUUCUCCUGUUGUAUCAGGUUUCAUUGCUGUAACCUGAUAGAAUUGGCUUCCUCUGGAAGUGGAUCCCACUUAGAACAACUACGCAUCUGUGAAAGCAAUGAAGGAGAAGAAUGAGACUAAAUGGAGAAAAAUUGUUAUCUACAUUGCAAUUAGAUUUCUGUGCUUGCUGUAUUAACUGCAAGAGUAAUUCUUCCCUUACCUAGCAAACUAAAAUUAGGUUAAUAUUCCACAUGAUUGUACUUGAAAAAUUAAGCUAUAGUGUAGCACAGAUGGAAUGAUUUAACUAGCAUCAGAAGAAGUAUAUAAUUUGUAUUAUGUAGGACAGUGCAUAUUGAGAUUUAUUCUAAUGAAAUGUCUGAUUUUUUUUUCUUCUUUCAUCUAAGAUAGUUUUAAUUAUGUUGGUGGCAAUGUCCAAAUUAAUUUAACUGUUCUCCUUGAGAUUCUGUAACUAUUUUUAUUAAAAUAAUAAUGAGUAACAUAAUGAAUAUCUUCUCUUAUUAUCACUUCUCAUGGACUUUAAAUUCUAUAGUUUAUUUCUCAUUGAGCUGUAGAGCUAGGAGCUAUAUAAAAUAUGGCAUUUAUUAUUCUUCCGAACAGCUGACAUAAAUAUUGGCAAAUAGUCUCCGUUUUAUUUUUGAUAAAGAAAGAAAUGUACUGGAAUUACCAUUAAAAACAAUUUACUUGUAAUCUAACCCCCACAUUUUCCAAACAAGUCAAGAAACAUAAUUGCCCAAAUACACAAGUUAGUGAUAGAGCCAGGAGUAUAACUGAGCUCUCUCUCACCUGAACCUUAUUCCAAGCUCUUACCAUGACACCAUAUUGAUUCUUUUUACAUACAUGUGUUUUAUAGCUUGAAUGAAAAAUACUGAAGACUCCCAGAUUUUAAGCUUGAAUUCCUUGUAGCUUGCCCCAGGCCUGGGAUUGAUUCUAAAACCUGCUAAAGUAUAAACCAGUGAUGGUCACUAAAUCUCUUAAGAAGAAGAAAAGGGUACCAUGAAAAGCUUCAUCCAACAAGGAAUAUUAGUUUCCUGUUGCUACUGUAACAAGUUACCACAAACGCAGUGUAUUUAAAAAAAUUAUUUUUUGACGUUCUCAUGGUUAAAAAGCCUAAAAUAAGUCACAGUGGGCUAAAAUCAGCAGAUUUUGAAGGUCUGUGGGAGAAACCAUUCCCUUGGCUUUUCCAGCUCCUAGAGGCCCGCUGCAUUCCUAGCUUAUGGCCUGGCAUCACUCCAGUCUCUUCUGCUGCUGCCACAUUUUCUCCUCUGACUCUCAUCCUCCUGCCUUCCUCUUAUAAGAACCUUAUGAUUACUUUGUGCCCACUUAUAUGAUCCAAGAUUAUCUCCCCAUCUCAAGACCUUAAAUUUAAUCACAAAAUCCCCCCUUCUGUAAUGAAAGAUAGCAUAUUUACAAAUGCUAGGGAUUAGGAUGUGAACAUCUUUCGAGAGCCACUAUGCUGCCUAUCACAUAAGAAUACUAUAAGUCUAUCAAUUUUAUGCCUUGGCCUGAGUCACUUCCUAACAAAUACGUGCUGUAAUUACUGAUAUAGGGGAAGAUGGAAGCAGUUCACAUGUGUUUCCCCACCGCCAUUCAUUCUGUAAUCUCACAAUGAAAGAGCUAUCUCUAAGAAAUGUCACCUAAAGUUUAACCUGUAAAGUUAAAUCCGCAAUUCCCAUCUGUAAGUUUUAUUUGUCUUUGUCACAUUUUCUAGGGGGUUUGAGAUUGCUCCUAUUCUACUCUGCAAAAUCUGGAAAGAGUUGGGUAUGACUAUUCAAAAAUGAAUGUCUUCUGUAGACAACUGAGGUAA